UACGUAGGUGGCAAGCGUUGUCCGGAUUUAUUGGGUUUAAAGGGUGCGUAGGCGGUCUUUUAAGUCAGUGGUGAAAUACGGCAGCUCAACUGUCGAGGUGCCAUUGAUACUGGAAGACUUGAGUACUGAUGAGGUAGGCGGAAUGGACGGUGUAGCGGUGAAAUGCUUAGAUAUCGUCCAGAACACCGAUAGCGAAGGCAGCUUACUAAGGAGUAACUGACGCUGAGGCACGAAAGUGUGGGGAGCAAACAGG
rnacentral:rRNA from 1 species